UACAGAGGGGGCAAGCGUUGUUCGGAAUCAUUGGGCGUAAAGGGCGCGUAGGUGGUUCUGUAUGUCUGCCGUGAAAGCAUACAGCUCAACUGUAUUUUGUCGGUAGAAACUGCAGGACUUGAGGCUGGGAGGGGCUGGUGGAAUUCCCUGUGUAGCGGUGAAAUGCGUAGAGAUGGGGGAGAACACUCGUGGCGAAGGCGGCCAGCUAGACCAGUUCUGACACUGAGGCGCGACAGCGUGGGGAGCAAACAGG
rnacentral:rRNA from 1 species